rnacentral:lncRNA from 1 species
AAUGGGCUCUGUCUGUAGGAGGAGAUGCCCUCAGCCCUCUGCUGACUCAUUUGCAUUGUGAUGCUCCCUGGGCAAAGCUGAGUAAAUCAGAUUACGUCACCCUGGGAUGGCUUCCUGCUGCAGGUGAAGAACACAUCCCAAGCUCAGAAAAGCGCGGGGAGGUCCUCCUUGUUUAUUUUUAAAAAGCCACACAGUCAACUGAGAACAAGGAAGCGUGUUAUCUGUGCUGUCGCAGCUGCUUUGACAGAAUAUCACUUUGGAAAUGGAUGUUUCUCUUCUGCUCCCUAAGAGAUGGGGAUGCAGAAUCCAAGAAAGGAUCUGGACUCAGAAAAUCACCCGCCAUUUGGGGUCCUGAGGCCAGCGGAGUGUAAGCAUCUCCCCUUGCCAGGAGCAACUGUUCACCCAGCACACAGGCUCCUCCACUUGUCCCCAGGAGUCCCCAGUAGUUUCUGGAAGCAGCAAGAGAUGGGAGAGAGGCCGGCAUCUCUCACCUUCCAAACUGGCAGGAUUUCUCCCUCCAUCUCUGUGGGAAGUGGUGGCCAUGUGGUCCCCUGAGGCGGAUUUCGAAAGAGAAGGCAGAGAAAAUGUUUCCAAGGCCAGCUUCCCUCUCCCUCGGGGAAAUCAAGAUCAUUGAACGUCUCUCCCUAAACAGCUGAAAUAAAUCCAGAAGUGAAGGUCUUCUCCCUCGGCAGCACAGCAGGAAUGAUUCUUGGUUACGCUGAGCACCGAUAUUGAACAGAUACCGCAG